CGAGCACGCGCGUGUGGCAUAUCAAUAAGCGGAGGAAAAGAAACUAACAAGGAUUCCCUUAGUAACGGCGAGUGAAGCGGGAAGAGCUCAAAUUUGAAAUCUUCAAGGUUCUACCUUGACGAAUUGUAGUUUAUAGAAGUGUUUUCUGUUAGUGGAGUGGCAAAAGUUCUUUGGAAUAGGACAUCAUAGAGGGUGAGAAUCCCGUAUUUGGUCAUUCCUCCUAGCGUUGUGAUACACUUUCAACGAGUCGGAUUGUUUGGGAAUGCAGUCCAAAAUGGGUGGUAAAUUUCAUCUAAAGCUAAAUAUUGGCGAGAGACCGAUAGCGAACAAGUACCGUGAGGGAAAGAUGAAAAGAACUUUGAAAAGAGAGUUAAACAGUACGUGAAAUUGUCAAAAGGGAAGCGUUUGACACCAGUGUUGUUUUUCCGAAAAUCAAUUACGAAUGUUUUGUUUUUGAGGAGUUAUGACUUCAUCGGCUUGCUCCUUUCUUUAUGAAACUUUCUUAAUGCACUUUUCGGUUAACAAGUCAACAUCAAUUUCUUUUGUUGUAAAAGGGUAUGAGGAAGGUGGCUUUCUUUUCGGAGAAAGUGUUUAUAGCCUUGUACCUCUGCAAUCGGAGAGAUUGAGGUCUGCAGCGUAGAUCCUUCGGGGUUAGAUACAUUUGUGCUAAGUUAUAGCUUUUCAUAGACAACUUGUUGACUAUGUUUAGUCUUGUAGCUUACUCGCUGACGCUAUUUUACCUACGCUUAGGAUGUUGAACUCUAUCACACACA
rnacentral:rRNA from 1 species